rfam:Fistulifera solaris DNA, contig: scaffold00007, strain: JPCC DA0580.
UUGCCUACCGUCUCACUAAAAUUGAUUCUUCUCUUGCAUUUUUCCAGAGAAGACUGUGGUGAGGCGGGAUCGAUGGGCCACAUGUCAUUCUUUGAAAUCCCUUGUGGAU